AUUGAACGCUGGCGGCAUGCCUUACACAUGCAAGUCGAACGGUAACAGGUCUUCAGAUGCUGACGAGUGGCGAACGGGUGAGUAAUGCAUCGGAACGUGCCCAGUAGUGGGGGAUAGCCCGGCGAAAGCCGGAUUAAUACCGCAUACGACCUGAGGGUGAAAGGGGGGGAUCGAAAGACCUCUCGCUAUUGGAGCGGCCAAUGUCAGAUUAGCUAGUUGGUGGGGUAAAGGCCUACCAAGGCAACGAUCUGUAGUUGGUCUGAGAGGACGACCAGCCACACUGGGACUGAGACACGGCCCAGACUCCUACGGGAGGCAGCAGUGGGGAAUUUUGGACAAUGGGCGCAAGCCUGAUCCAGCAAUGCCGCGUGCAGGGAGAAGGCCUUCGGGUUGUAAACUGCUUUUGUCAGGGAAGAAAUCUUCUGGGUUAAUACCUCGGGAGGAUGACGGUACCUGAAGAAUAAGCACCGGCUAACUACGUGCCAGCCGCCGCCGUAAAAC
rnacentral:rRNA from 1 species